CCGUUUGACGUCGCCAUUGCUGAAUUGGAUCAAGAGAAUACUGGCUACUGGAAGAAGUCACUACGCAACAGAUUCAGGAAUUGCAGGAAGUGUCAUGAACGUGAUAAUCCAUUAGGACAAAUGGAA
rnacentral:lncRNA from 1 species